GCGUGUGUGAUGAAGGCCUUAGGGUUGUAAAGCACUUUCGCCGAUGACGAUGAUGACGGUAGUCGGAUAAGAAGCCCCGGCUAACUCCGUGCCAGCAGCCGCGGUAAUACGGAGGGGGCGAGCGUUGUUCGGAAUUACUGGGCGUAAAGGGCGCGUAGGCGGCCAUGUCAGUUGGGAGUGAAAGCCCCGGGCUCAACCUGGGAACUGCUCUCAAUACUGCGUGGCUUGAGAACGGGAGAGGGUAGUGGAAUUCCCAGUGUAGAGGUGAAAUUCGU
rnacentral:rRNA from 1 species